GUGGGGAAUCUUCCACAAUGGACGAAAGUCUGAUGGAGCAACGCCGCGUGAGUGAAGAAGGUUUUCGAAUCGUAAAGCUCUGUUGUCAGGGACGAAUGUUGAGACCGAGAAUAUUGGUUUCAAAUGACGGUACCUGACGAGGAAGCCACGGCUAACUACGUGCCAGCAGCCGCGGUAAUACGUAGGUGGCGAGCGUUGUCCGGAAUUAUUGGGCGUAAAGGGAGCGCAGGUGGGCUGUCAAGUCUGUCUUAAAAGUGCGGGGCUUAACCCCGUGAUGGGAUAGAAACUGGCAGUCUUGAGUGCAGGAGAGGAAAGCGGAAUUCCUAGUGUAGCGGUGAAAUGCGUAGAUAUUAGGAAGAACACCAGUGGCGAAGGCGACUUUCUGGACGAAAACUGACGCUGAGGCGCGAAAGCCAGGGGAGCGAACGGGAUUAGAUACCCGGGUAGUCC
rnacentral:rRNA from 1 species